UUUUUUUUAACAGAUCCCGAGGACUCACCGGAUGUGUGAGCACUUUGUUCGGAACUGCUUUGGUGCAGUCUUCAUGCAUUCACACGUUCACUUUAGCAGGAGGAGAUGAUAAAAGUCUUGUAUUUAUGGAAAUGGAAAGCCUGAAUUCCACACUACAGCUCUUAUAUUAGAAAAGAAACUGGAUGAAAAAAGAUGGGUCUCAGAGAAGAUACCUUGGAGCAAUAGCCACACAAGAGUUGCUCAAGUAUUUCCAUCAGCCUAAAUGACUACACACCUAUUUGCCACCAGCUGGCCUCAGCUCUGCUCUGAAUGCCCACCAUCAACUCUCCGAGAAAGUGCCCCUGACUACACUCAGUGAAGCUGGGUGGCUGCCUUUUCCCCCUGCAAGAUAACAAGAAAAAAAUUCUGUUCCUGAACCGUGGAGUUAAAUGAAACUGAAGAGCCUAAGUAGUGUACCUAGGUGGAGAUAUAAAUGGCACAGAGAGAAUGAACAGUCCUGAGUGACUCAGAAGGGAAAACAAUAAGUGUCUUGCUGUAACACAGAAAAUACCAUCUCUUCAGAGACAAGAAGAACAACACAGGUGGCGCCUCUGGAUCCUUGACAGAUACCGUGCAGCUCUGACAGAUGGGCCAUGGAGAGAGUGUGCAGGGCCUGGGAUUUGGGAGAUGCGGGUUCAUAAAGGAAGUAUGGAUUUAGGAAGAGGCCAAAGGCAGAACGGCACCAAGCAAGAAGGGGAGUGGGUAUCAGGGCUGAAGAUAACACCCAGACAGAACAGGUCCAUGCUUCACAGAGAGAGGUACCAUAG
rnacentral:lncRNA from 1 species